rnacentral:rRNA from 1 species
UCGAGCGGAACGACAACAUUGACCCUUCGGGUGAUUUGUUGGGCGUCGAGCGGCGGACGGGUGAGUAAUGCCUGGGAAAUUGCCCUGAUGUGGGGGAUAACCAUUGGAAACGAUGGCUAAUACCGCAUAAUGUCUACGGACCAAAGAGGGGGACCUUCGGGCCUCUCGCUUCAGGAUAUGCCCAGGUGGGAUUAGCUAGUUGGUGAGGUAAUGGCUCACCAAGGCGACGAUCCCUAGCUGGUCUGAGAGGAUGAUCAGCCACACUGGAACUGAGACACGGUCCAGACUCCUACGGGAGGCAGCAGUGGGGAAUAUUGCACAAUGGGCGCAAGCCUGAUGCAGCCAUGCCGCGUGUAUGAAGAAGGCCUUCGGGUUGUAAAGUACUUUCAGUCGUGAGGAAGGCGUUGGAGUUAAUAGCUUCAUCGUUUGACGUUAGCGACAGAAGAAGCACCGGCUAACUCCGUGCCAGCAGCCGCGGUAAUACGGAGGGUGCGAGCGUUAAUCGGAAUUACUGGGCGUAAAGCGCAUGCAGGUGGUUUGUUAAGUCAGAUGUGAAAGCCCGGGGCUCAACCUCGGAACCGCAUUUGAAACUGGCAGGCUAGAGUACUGUAGAGGGGGGUAGAAUUUCAGGUGUAGCGGUGAAAUGCGUANAGAUCUGAAGGAAUACCAGUGGCGAAGGCGGCCCCCUGGACAGAUACUGACACUCAGAUGCGAAAGCGUGGGGAGCAAACAGGAUUAGAUACCCUGNNAGUCCACGCCGUAAACGAUGUCUACUUGG